AUGCGUCAGAGGCGGUUCGUGGGCCGGGCUAGCAGCGUGGGCGGACGGGUUUCUGGGCGGCCGUCGACCGCCGACGAGGUGAGCCGUGGAUCAGGUUCUCGAUUUCCGUCUGCUCCGUGGCUCAGAAAAGUCGCUGCUCCACGCAUUGAAUGCAAGGUGUGUCUGUUCUUCCCCAACGCGGCCGUCAUUUUGGAGAUUCAGAGGCAAGGAGGGGAGAGAGUGGAAGAACAGGCGACCGACAGGAUGGAUUUCCUCAUGCAAUCAGGAGAUCCAAUCGGAUUGAGGAGGUUGGGGGAGAGUCUAGUGCUGGAAGGGUUGCCGGCACAUGGCGCCAGGCGGACAGUGGUCAAGUUGACGCUGCAGGAGGCCACGGGCGUGAGCGCCAAAGGGCGGAUCUGCGGCGUGGCUGAAGCGGCGGCAGUGGCAAGGGGCAGCGGCAGUGACAAGGGGCAGCCCGCCUCUGACUUCCGAGCUGUCGACGGGGAAGAUGAAUCCUCAGGCUCCUCGUUGGAACAAGAGGUUGAGGAUUGGAGCUUCUGCCCCAAGCUUGACACCUUGCUCACCCCGCGUAAGCGCUUUUGA
rnacentral:rRNA from 1 species